rnacentral:rRNA from 1 species
GACGAACGCUGGCGGCGUGCCUAAUACAUGCAAGUUGAGCGCUGAAGGUUGGUACUUGUACCAACUGGAUGAGCAGCGAACGGGUGAGUAACGCGUGGGGAAUCUGCCUUUGAGCGGGGGACAACAUUUGGAAACGAAUGCUAAUACCGCAUAAAAACUUUAAACACAAGUUUUAAGUUUGAAAGAUGCAAUUGCAUCACUCAAAGAUGAUCCCGCGUUGUAUUAGCUAGUUGGUGAGGUAAAGGCUCACCAAGGCGAUGAUACAUAGCCGACCUGAGAGGGUGAUCGGCCACAUUGGGACUGAGACACGGCCCAAACGCCUACGGGAGGCAGCAGUAGGGAAUCUUCGGCAAUGGACGAAAGUCUGACCGAGCAACGCCGCGGGAGUGAAGAAGGUUUUCGGAUCGUAAAACUCUGUUGGUAGAGAAGAACGUUGGUGAGAGUGGAAAGCUCAUCAAGUGACGGUAACUACCCAGAAAGUGACGGCUAACUACGUG